ACACAUGCAAGUCGAGGGGCAGCAUAAUGGAUAGCAAUAUCUAUGGUGGCGACCGGCGCACGGGUGCGUAACGCGUAUGCAACCUACCUUUAACAGGGGGAUAACACUGAGAAAUUGGUACUAAUACCCCAUAAUAUCAUAGAAGGCAUCUUUUAUGGUUGAAAAUUCCGAUGGUUAGAGAUGGGCAUGCGUUGUAUUAGCUAGUUGGUGGGGUAACGGCUCACCAAGGCGACGAUACAUAGGGGGACUGAGAGGUUAACCCCCCACACUGGUACUGAGACACGGACCAGACUCCUACGGGAGGCAGCAGUGAGGAAUAUUGGUCAAUGGACGCAAGUCUGAACCAGCCAUGCCGCGUGCAGGAUGACGGCUCUAUGAGUUGUAAACUGCUUUUGUACGAGGGUAAACGCAGAUACGUGUAUCUGUCUGAAAGUAUCGUACGAAUAAGGAUCGGCUAACUCCGUGCCAGCAGCCGCGGUAAUACGGAGGAUUCAAGCGUUAUCCGGAUUUAUUGGGUUUAAAGGGUGCGUAGGCGGUUUGAUAAGUUAGAGGUGAAAUUUCGGGGCUCAACCCUGAACGUGCCUCUAAUACUGUUGAGCUAGAGAGUAGUUGCGGUAGGCGGAAUGUAUGGUGUAGCGGUGAAAUGCUUAGAGAUCAUACAGAACACCGAUUGCGAAGGCAGCUUACCAAACUAUAUCUGACGUUGAGGCACGAAAGCGUGGGGAGCAAACAGGAUUAGAUACCCUGGUAGUCCACGCAGUAAACGAUGAUAACUCGUUGUCGGCGAUACACAGUCGGUGACUAAGCGAAAGCGAUAAGUUAUCCACCUGGGGAGUACGUUCGCAAGAAUGAAACUCAAAGGAAUUGACGGGGG
rnacentral:rRNA from 1 species